rnacentral:rRNA from 1 species
UACAGAGGGUGCAAGCGUUAAUCGGAAUUACUGGGCGUAAAGCGUGCGUAGACGGUCAUGUAAGUCGGGUGUGAAAGCCCCGGGCUCAACCUGGGAAUUGCAUUCGAGACUGCAUGGCUAGGAUGCGGAAGAGGGAAGCGGAAUUUCCGGUGUAGCGGUGAAAUGCGUAGAUAUCGGAAGGAACACCAGUGGCGAAAGCGGGUCUCUGGGCCGUAACUGACGCUGAGGAGCGAAAGCGUGGGGAGCAAACAGG